GUUGUGUAACUAUUGUAUGCUGAUGGAGUUGUUGCAUUAACAUCAAGUAUAAAUACAAUUAGGUAUUGUUCGUACUACUAACAUUUUACUGUGAUUCAAAUUGUAUCAUUUUUUUGUUCUUUAAAAAGAUAUUGAUUUAUUUUAUUGAUCAUGUUGUGUAACUAUUGUAUGCUGAUGGAGUUGUUGCAUUAACAUCAAGUAUAAAUAAAAUUCGGUACUCUGUGUACUACUAACAUUUUACUGUGAUUCAAAUUGUAUUAUUUUUUGUUCUUGAAAAAGAUAUUGAUUUAUUUUAUUGAUCAUGUUGUGUAACUAUUUUAUGCUGAUGGAGUUGUUGCAUUAACAUUAAGUAUAAAUAAAAUUCGGUAUUCUGUGUACUACUAACAUUUUACUGUGAUCCAAAUUGUAUUAUUUUUUGUUCUUUACAUAGAUAUUCAUUUAUUUUAUUGAUACAACGACAUAUUAAAGCAGUUCCAUAUAUAGCUAGAUACACUGUUAUCAUGUUUGUCUAAAAUAGCUGUAAAGUUCAUCCAUUACCAAAUUAUGAUAUUUCUCUAAGAAAAAACAACGACUUACUAUAUUCAUGUAUUUUGUAUUAUCAUUUUGUUUAACACUAGAAACUGUAAAGUUUAUGUGUAAUAAAAUUCUGUUCUGUUC